AAGCCCCUUAUUGUCAUAAUAUCUGCUCUUGGAACAUUGAUGAAGGUCCAAGCAAGACGGUCAGAUUGUGAAAUCAAAGAGGGCCAGCAGUCUACAACCCUUAGAAGAGGAGUUUAAAACAAUGCAAUCCUGGCAGGAGGAAUUUCCAUUGUGUUUGCUGCAUCAGAGGCUCCGCUAUAAAAUGCUGAUCAACCAUAGAGGGCGCCAUUACCAUUCCAUGAAGCCUGCUACAUCACACAACAGUAAUGGAAAGAGUAAAGGGGAAAAAAAGAACUGGACACUGCCUUAAUGGCACUGGAAAGAGGAAAAACAGAACUGAAUGCUGCCUAACUUUAAUCACAGCAGUAGCGCCCCCACUCAUCCAGAAAAGCUGACAAAAUUUUAUUUUCCAAGAUAUGCGAUCAAGUUUCAACCAACCCAGUUGAAUUUUUAGUGACAUGUACAUGAUAUAAAUCAGAACAUUUGGAAGUGUAAAUCUAGAAAGGUUUGGAAAUUUAUGUUAGAC